UCCAGUGUGGUGUAGUGGCUAGCAUCGCUGUCUUUCGUAUGUAUGCAUAGGAAUGUAGCAGCUCGGGGGCUCAAUUCCCCGCACUAGUU